UACGAAGGGGGCUAGCGUUGCUCGGAAUUACUGGGCGUAAAGCGCACGUAGGCGGCUUUCUAAGUCGGGGGUGAAAUCCUGGAGCUCAACUCCAGAACUGCCUUUGAUACUGAGAAGCUUGAGUCCGGGAGAGGUGAGUGGAACUGCGAGUGUAGAGGUGAAAUUCGUAGAUAUUCGCAAGAACACCAGUGGCGAAGGCGGCUCACUGGCCCGGUACUGACGCUGAGGUGCGAAAGCGUGGGGAGCAAACAGG
rnacentral:rRNA from 1 species